GUAGGUGGCAAACGUUGUCCGGAAUUAUUGGGCGUAAAGCGCGCGCAGGUGGUUCUUUAAGUCUGAUGUGAAAGCCCCCGGGCUCAACCGGGGAGGGUCAUUGGAAACUGGGGAACUUGAGUGCAGGAGAGGAAAGUGGAAUUCCACGUGUAGCGGUGAAAUGCGUAGAUAUGUGGAGGAACACCAGUGGCGAAGGCGACUUUCUGGCCUGUAACUGACACUGAGGCGCGAAAGCGUGGGGAGCAAACAGGAUUAGAUACCCUGGUAGUCCACGCCGUAAACGAUGAGUGCUAGGUGUUGGGGGUUUCCGCCCCUCAGUGCUGCAGCUAACGCAUUAAGCACUCCGCCUGGGGAGUACGGUCGCAAAGACUG
rnacentral:rRNA from 1 species